rnacentral:rRNA from 1 species
AUUGAACGCUGGCGGCAGGCCUAACACAUGCACGUCGAGCGAGCGGCGGACGGGUGAGUAAUGUCUGGGAAACUGCCUGAUGGAGGGGGAUAACUACUGGAAACGGUAGCUAAUCCCGCAUACCAUCAGAUGUGCCCAGAGGGGAUGAGCUAGUAGGUGGGGUAAUGGCUCACCUAGGCGACGAUCCCUAGCUGGUCUGAGAGGAUGACCAGCAACACUGGAACUGAGACACGGUCCAGACUCCUACGGGAGGCAGCAGUGGGGAAUAUUGCACAAUGGGCGCAAGCCUGAUGCAGCCAUGCCGCGUGUAUGAAGAAGGCCUUCGGGUUGUAAAGCACUUUCAGCGAGGAGGCGUUACUCGCAGAAGAAGCACCGGCUAACUCCGUGACAGCAGCCGCGGUAAUUC